UACGGAGGGAGCUAGCGUUGUUCGGAAAUACUGGGCGUAAAGCGCACGUAGGCGGCGCAGCAAGUCAGGGGUGAAAUCCCGGGGCUCAACCUCGGAACUGCCCUUGAAACUGCAGUGCUAGAAUCUUGGAGAGGCGAGUGGAAUUCCGAGUGUAGAGGUGAAAUUCGUAGAUAUUCGGAAGAACACCAGUGGCGAAGGCGGCUGUCUGGUCCGGUUCUGACGCUGAGGCGCGAAAGCGUGGGGAGCAAACAGG
rnacentral:rRNA from 1 species